AAAUGACUUCACGGUGGCCAUUUUGAGCCGCCCAUUCCCUCACUCUCAAAAUGGCCGCCUCAAAGCAGGUUGGAAAGUGACAUAGAAACAUAGAAACAUAGAAAUUAG